CUCAGUAACGGCGAGCGAAGUGGGAAGAAGUCAGUGCCCAGGUCUGAAAUCUCCGGCCCGAUCCAUUGCGAGGCCGGCGAAUUGUGGUCUGGAGAGCGGAGUUGUCCCGAAGUCGCGUUCCGUCGGGCCCGAAGUCGACUUGGAACGGCGUGCCACAGAGGGUGAGAGCCCCGAAGGGCCGAGAAACCGGGAGCGACGGGACGAGAGCUCCGACUCGUCGAGUCGGGUUGUUUGGGAAUGCAGCCCAAAUCGGGUGGUAGACUCCAUCCAAGGCUGAAUACGGGCGCGAGUCCGAUAGCGGACAAGUACCGUGAGGGAAAGGUGAAAAGCACUUUGAAGAGAGAGUUCAAGAGAGCGUGAAACCGUUGGGAGGGAAGCUCGGGGUACCGAGGCGGUCCGGCCCUUCGGGGUUCAUUCGGCGUCGCGGGCUCCGUCGCUCGUCGAGGGACGACGACGUUGUCUUCGAGCCGGUGCACUCCCCGUCGGGUCUCGGUGACCGUCAGCGAGGGGACGGUCCGCUUCUGUCGGUGUCCGUCGAGGUGGUGUCGGUCGUCGUCUCGGCGGCGGCCGAUCGUAAGCUCUUCGGGUGCCCGAGCGUGGCUCUUCCCCUGGUGAGUGUUGGCGGCUGUUGUCGCCUCCGGUGGUAGUAGGUGCGGGGCUCCCUCGUGGGGCCGCGGGCCGGCGUCUGUCCUUCGGUCUCGGUUCGGGAAGGUGUCUCCUCGUCGCGUGCUCCCAGUGGGCUCGCUUCGUGGCUGGGCCUCUCUUCCGCGGCAGUCGGUCGGCGYUCGGUCGCGUCUGCCGCGCCUAGGUCGCUGACGUUGAUUCGGUCCCCCGUGCCCCGUCUUGAAACACGGACCAAGGAGUGCAAGAGGCGCGCCAGUCUCGAGGGCCCGGCGACUCUGUCGUCGAUCCGUUGCAAGCCCGACGAGAGGCGUAGCGAAAGCAAGUGUCGGCCUAGAGUCGACGGGCGCGAGAGCCGGCUCGUCUCCGGACGUGCCGGCGCAUCGCGGACCGAUCCGCGGUCACGCAGUGGCCGGUUUCGAGUGAGAGCGUGUCUGUUGCGACCCGAAAGAUGGUGAACUAUGCCCGAGGAGGGCGAAGCCAGAGGAAACUCUGGUGGAGGCCUCGCAGCGGUUCUGACGUGCAAAUCGAUCGUGUCACUUGGGUAUAGGGCGAAAGACUA
rnacentral:rRNA from 1 species